rnacentral:misc_RNA from 1 species
UCGUAACAAGGUUUCCGUAGGUGAACCUGCGGAAGGAUCAUUACAGAAUGAAAAGUGCUUAACUGCAUUUUUUCUUACACAUGUGUUUUUCUUUUUUUGAAAACUUUGCUUUGGUAGGCCUUCUAUAUGGGGCCUGCCAGAGAUUAAACUCAACCAAAUUUUAUUUAAUGUCAACCGAUUAUUUAAUAGUCAAAACUUUCAACAACGGAUCUCUUGGUUCUCGCAUCGAUGAAGAACGCAGCGAAAUGCGAUAAGUAAUAUGAAUUGCAGAUAUUCGUGAAUCAUCGAAUCUUUGAACGCACAUUGCGCCCUUUGGUAUUCCAAAGGGCAUGCCUGUUUGAGCGUCAUUUCUCCCUCAAACCCUCGGGUUUGGUGUUGAGCGAUACGCUGGGUUUGCUUGAAAGAAAGGCGGAGUAUAAACUAAUGGAUAGGUUUUUUCCACUCAUUGGUACAAACUCCAAAACUUCUUCCAAAUUCGACCUCAAAUCAGGUAGGACUACCCGCUGAACUUAAGCAUA